GAGACAGCAGUAGCCACGGGAAUACAGAGGGUGCGAGCGUUAAUCGGAUUUACUGGGCGUAAAGCGUGCGUAGGCGGCUUCUUAAGUCGGAUGUGAAAUCCCUGAGCUUAACUUAGGAAUUGCAUUCGAUACUGGGAAGCUAGAGUAUGGGAGAGGAUGGUAGAAUUCCAGGUGUAGCGGUGAAAUGCGUAGAGAUCUGGAGGAAUACCGAUGGCGAAGGCAGCCAUCUGGCCUAAUACUGACGCUGAGGUACGAAAGCAUGGGGAGCAAACAGGAUUAGAUACCCCUGUAGUCCCUGUCUCUUAUAC
rnacentral:rRNA from 1 species